rnacentral:rRNA from 1 species
AGAGUUUGAUCCUGGCUCAGGACGAACGCUGGCGGCGUGCUUAACACAUGCAAGUCGAACGGAGUAUAUGGGUGCUUGCACCUAAGAUACUUAGUGGCGGACGGGUGAGUAACGCGUGGGUAACCUGCCCUGUACACACGGAUAACAUACCGAAAGGUAUGCUAAUACGAGAUAAUAUACUUUUAUCGCAUGGUAGAAGUAUCAAAGCUUUUGCGGUACAGGAUGGACCCGCGUCUGAUUAGCUAGUUGGUAAGGUAACGGCUUACCAAGGCGACGAUCAGUAGCCGACCUGAGAGGGUGAUCGGCCACAUUGGAACUGAGACACGGUCCAAACUCCUACGGGAGGCAGCAGUGGGGAAUAUUGCACAAUGGGCGAAAGCCUGAUGCAGCAACGCCGCGUGAGCGAUGAAGGCCUUCGGGUCGUAAAGCUCUGUCCUCAAGGAAGAUAAUGACGGUACUUGAGGAGGAAGCCCCGGCUAACUACGUGCCAGCAGCCGCGGUAAUACGUAGGGGGCUAGCGUUAUCCGGAAUUAUUGGGCGUAAAGAGCUCGUAGGCGGUUUGUCGCGUCUGCUGUGAAAGCCCGGGGCUCAACCCCGGGUCUGCAGUGGGUACGGGCAGACUAGAGUGAUGUAGGGGAGACUGGAAUUCCUGGUGUAGCGGUGAAAUGCGCAGAUAUCAGGAGGAACACCGAUGGCGAAGGCAGGUCUCUGGGCAUUAACUGACGCUGAGGAGCGAAAGCAUGGGGAGCGAACAGGAUUAGAUACCCUGGUAGUCCAUGCCGUAAACGUUGGGCACUAGGUGUGGGGGACAUUCCACGUUUUCCGCGCCGUAGCUAACGCAUUAAGUGCCCCGCCUGGGGAGUACGGCCGCAAGGCUAAAACUCAAAGGAAUUGACGGGGGCCCGCACAAGCGGCGGAGCAUGCGGAUUAAUUCGAUGCAACGCGAAGAACCUUACCAAGGCUUGACAUGAACCGGAAAGGCCUGGAAACAGGUCCCCCACUUGUGGCCGGUUUACAGGUGGUGCAUGGUUGUCGUCAGCUCGUGUCGUGAGAUGUUGGGUUAAGUCCCGCAACGAGCGCAACCCUCGUUCUAUGUUGCCAGCGGGUUAUGCCGGGGACUCAUAGGAGACUGCCGGGGUCAACUCGGAGGAAGGUGGGGGCGACGUCAAAUCAUCAUGCCCCUUAUGUCUUGGGCUACACACGUACUACAAUGGCUGUUAACAGAGGGAAGCAAGACCGCGAGGUGGAGCAAAUCCCCAAAAACAGUCCCAGUUCAGAUUGCAGGCUGCAACUCGCCUGCAUGAAGGCGGAAUUGCUAGUAAUCGCGGAUCAGCAUGCCGCGGUGAAUACGUUCCCGGGCCUUGCACACACCGCCCGUCAAG